CAUCACCCACCACUAUGACCCAGAGCACACCUGUGGACUCACCUGUGUGUGUGUUUCUCAGAGGAGGAUACCCGAGAGAGCUGUGUCCCUGUGCUUUCAUGCUGCCUCCUUUUAUAUUGGAGUGAGGGGGAUUUCACCAGCUUCUUUUCAGGCACCAUACUGUAUAACUCCUGCACUGUGAAACACAGGCCUGCUCAUUUUCCUCGAGGAGCACCGUCAGUGGAAGUGACUUCAUUCCUGUCAGACAAGUCCUGAUCAGAAACACCCACGGGACCUGCUCACCCACUUGUCUGGCCAGGUUUAACUUCUGAUGACUGCCAAAAAGUCACUGUCAGUGGAAAGAAUCAUGAGCAGGGAACUCCAAUGGAAACGGGAAAAACCUGUGUUUAUGGAUUGAUAUGAAAUCAAUCAAUAGCUUCUCUAGGAAUAUAACUGUAAAUGGGGAAGUGCAAAAUUUCCUUGUUUCAAAUUGGACCUUCCUCCGACGUGCCUGUCAACGCAACAGAUUUCCCUCCAGGGAAUAUAUGUCAGCGUCUGUGGUUAAAAAUAGCAGACAACACUUUGCGGGGCAGGAAUGGUUAGUGCUUGUUUCUAACCACUAGAGGUCAUCACAAAGUUUUUUUGAAUAUGGAAAAUCCUCUAAUGAUUCCCAGUCUCUGAUUUUGUUGCACUGCUUCAGCAGCAUCUACUGGUCCAACAUAUCUGUGCUUAUAUAAUACGCUUUUACCAGAAAGUAUGAGUAUGAGUAAAGUAUGAGUUAUAUGUUUGUGAGAUUGAGUUACAGGUCUUUUCACACAAGCCAGUAACAGAAACACCAGACAGUACUGUAUCAUAAUUCUGCUGUAAUUGGUUAAGCCGGUGGCGCGGAACCUUUUCUGAGCUGUGACCCAUUAAAACAACACAAUAUCUCUUUGUGAAUCAUUGUCACAGGCUUCAUGUCAAUGAUUUGUAAACAGUUCAACCAAAGAGUGAUUUUUUUUUUUUCAUUUGAUUAGUGUUAAGAGGCCAGAGGAGACAAUUUAUCUUUCAAAGGCAAUAGAAGUUUGAAAAAAGAACAUUUCUGUGGCAGAUAAAUGUCUUUUUCUUCAGUCUUAUCUCAAUCAUUAUCUCCCGAUGCCUCAGAGUUAUUUCGUCUUCCCUGAGGGGGUCCUGACAAAUGACCUACUUCUAACCACUGUUACUCUUUGCUAAUGCACUUUGUUUUAUCUUUCUGACGUUUGUCAUGAUUUUCAAGACUUUCCCUUUGAUACAUGUCGUAAUUGUGCAGUCUUUGUAUAUCUUUGCUUUAGGUUUGUUACGUUAUAUUUCAUGGCUGAGAGGAACUAUUAGAAGUAAAAUAAUAAUAACAAAUCAAUACAUAUACUGAUGUCACACAAAUUAUUGGGGAAAGAGCUAUGUGGAGUGAUUGUCUUGUGAACAGAAACAUUAUAAAUAGCGAUUUGUUUACAUUCAUGGUCAAAAACUCCAGAGGGUGCCUUUAAGAAAAAUGGCGCUCUAAGAUUUAACUUGACUUUCCCUCAGAAUUACUGUGACAUAAGUUGCUUUGGUGGUGAGAAAGUCUCACAAAUCAAAUUUCUAAUUUAGAUUAAAUUAAUCAUCAAACAUGAUCAAAUGAUCAAAGAAAAAGUUUUAUUUUCCGUUAUUUGUACAAAGCGUCUUUAUACAGAAGAAUAAUAUACAGAAGACUACGAAUAAAAAGAAUAGAAUGACAUUUUUACAUGGAGUACCUUGAAAAUCACAGGCACAUUUGGGACAGUUUCAACUACAUGGUAGUUAUGUUUUAAACUGGUUCUUCUGGUUGUUCUUAAUGGUGGCAGCUCUACUCUGAUCACAUCUGCAAGCGAACAUAACUACCCGCCAUAUCUGUAGCUUCUGUCACUGUACCUGUAUUUUCAGGCUUAACUCAAACUUUUUUUUUUUUUUUUAUAUAAACAAAAAAAUUACGGAUAAACUGUAAUUU